UACGUAGGUGGCAAGCGUUGUCCGGAAUUACUGGGCGUAAAGGGCCUGUAGGUGGCCCGGCAAGUCUCUUGUGAAAUCUCUCGGCUCAACCGGGAGGGGUCGGGAGAAACUGCCGGGCUUGAGGGCGUCAGAGGGAGACGGAAUUCCCGGUGUAGUGGUGAAAUGCGUAGAUAUCGGGAGGAACACCAGUGGCGAAAGCGGUCUCCUGGGGCGUUCCUGACACUGAGGGGCGAAAGCGUGGGGAGCAAACCGG
rnacentral:rRNA from 1 species